rnacentral:rRNA from 1 species
UGCAAGUCGAACGAUGAAGCCAGCUUGCUGGUGGAUUAGUGGCGAACGGGUGAGUAACACGUGGGUGAUCUGCCCCAAACUUUGGGAUAAGCCUGGGAAACUGGGUCUAAUACCGAAUAUGACCACCGAAUGCAUGGUGUGUGGUGGAAAGCUCCGGCGGUUUGGGAUGGGCCCGCGGCCUAUCAGCUUGUUGGUGGGGUAAUGGCCUACCAAGGCGACGACGGGUAGCCGGCCUGAGAGGGCGACCGGCCACACUGGGACUGAGACACGGCCCAGACUCCUACGGGAGGCAGCAGUGGGGAAUAUUGCACAAUGGGCGCAAGCCUGAUGCAGCGACGCCGCGUGAGGGAUGACGGCCUUCGGGUUGUAAACCUCUUUCACCAGGGACGAAGCGAAAGUGACGGUACCUGGAGAAGAAGCACCGGCCAACUACGUGCCAGCAGCCGCGGUAAUACGUAGGGUGCGAGCGUUGUCCGGAAUUACUGGGCGUAAAGAGUUCGUAGGCGGUUUGUCGCGUCGUUCGUGAAAACUUGGGGCUUAACUCCAAGCGUGCGGGCGAUACGGGCAGACUUGAGUACCUACAGGGGAGACUGGAAUUCCCUGGUGUAGCGGUGAAAUGCGCAAGAUAUCAGGAGGAACACCGGUGGCGAAGGCGGGUCUCUGGGUAGUAACUGACGCUGAGGAACGAAAGCGUGGG